rfam:Camelus ferus unplaced genomic scaffold scaffold886, whole genome shotgun sequence.
GAGGGGAUAGCCCAGUGGUAGAGUGUGUGCUUAGCAUACACGAGGCUCUGGGUUCAAUCCCCAGUACCUCCA